AGGGCUGUUGUUUUUGCCUGUCAUGGAGUUCCGUUCAUUCUGAACAUGUCACCGGGGACUUUGGAAUGUGUAUCCAUAACUCCCUGAUUUUCAACCACAUUCCAGCCUGCCUGACUCAUGAAGCGUGGAGCGACCCAGGAACAUCCCAGCUCCUCAUGUCCCACAUUCUUCAGGCUUUCUCUUAGUUUUGGCAUGUGCAUGUAAAUGUCAACAGCUGCUUCUGCUGACUCCUCGUCUCAAUUAAUCGCGGCUCUGUCUUCCGUUUGCUGAAGCCGAAGACCUCCCCGCUCUCUCAGAGCCCAUGUCUGGCACAUCAGCGAAUCUCGUUGGCACUGCCGUCAAACACAUCCAUCUAGGAUCUCCCCGCACUUCACGCCACCCACCGCGCUAGUCUGUGGAUCCCUGUUUCUCUCUUGGAUGUAGUAAUAGUCACAUAGCUGGACUUCUGCCCUGGCACUUCUUCAGCCCCUUGUUAGAGGAAUCCUGCUAAAUGUUGGAUGAUUUACCCCCCACCUCCCGCACCCCCCGCCACACACACAUAGGAGCUCCACUGGCUCCUCAUAACUCUCAGGGUGCCAGCCUGUCUCUGCCAUGACCCGAAAGCUCUCCGUCAUCUGUCUCCCGCCCCUCCCUCACUGACUCUAUCUGCCACCCUCUCCCUGUUGUCCACGCUGCCCCAGCCCCACAGGCCUCCUCCUGUUCCUCAGACUCCCCAGGGAUACUCCUGCCUCAGGGCCUUUGCCCUGGCUAUUCCCUCCAGCUACAAUGCUCUUCCUGAAUCUGCAUGAUUCGAUGCCCACUCCCCCAUUCUCAGCCUGUCCCCACAUCUCAGUGAGCCCUGCCCGGGCCACCCUGGAAAAUCUCAGCAUCCCAGGCUGGGCGUGGUGGCUCAUGCCUGUAAUCUCAGCACCUUGGGAGGCCAAGGCAGGCAGAUUGCUUGAGCUCAGGAGUUUGAGACCAGCCUGGCCAACAUGGCGAAACCCCAUCUCUCCUAAAAAUACAAAAAUUAGCUGAGUGUGGUGGUGCGUGCCUGUAAUCACAGCUACUUGGGAGGCUGAGGCAGCAGAAUCGAUUGAACCUGGGAGGCAGAGGUUUCAGUGAGCCGAGAUCAUGCCACUGCACUCCAGCCUGGGCGACAGAGCGAGACUCCAUCUAACACACACAAAAAAAGCACUUUUUUUUCAUCCUCCCAGCACUUCUUGUCCUCCUUGCUUCCCUUGUUUUUUUUUUUUUUCACAUUCACACAUAUGAUGAUCCAGCAUUCUACAUAUUUUAUUUAUCUUAUUUAUUUUCAGUCUUCUCCACUCAAAUGUAUGAUAUUUAAGGCAGGGGUUUUAAAAUGUCUUGUUCUUGGCCAGGCAUGGUGGCUCACACGUGUAAUUCUAGCACUUUGGGAGGCCGAGGCAGGUGGAGCACCUGAGGUCAGGAGUUCAAGACCAGCCUGGUCAACAUGGCGAAACCCCGUCUCUACUAAAAAUACGAAAUUAGCCAGGCGUGGUGGCGGACGCCUGUAAUCCCAGCUAUAAUCCCAGCUACUCAGGAGGCUGAAGCAGGAGAAUCGCUUGAACCUGGGAGGCAGAGCUUGCAGUGAGCCGAGAUCACGCCACUACACUGCAGCCUGGGUGACAGAGUGAGACUCCAUCUCAAAAAACAACAACAAAAUAAAUAAAUAAAUAAAAAUAAAAU
rnacentral:lncRNA from 1 species